AGAGUUUGAUCAUGGCUCAGAACGAACGCUGGCGGCAGGCCUAACACAUGCAAGUCGAACGCUCGUAGCAAUACGGGAGUGGCGCACGGGUGAGUAACGCGUGGGCUACCUGCCCGAUGGUACGGAAUAACCGUGGGAAACUGCGGCUAAUACCGUAUGUACCCUAAGGGGGAAAGAUUUAUCGCCAUCGGAUGGGCCCGCGUCGGAUUAGGUAGUUGGUGGGGUAACGGCCCACCAAGCCGACGAUCCGUAGCUGGUCUGAGAGGAUGAUCAGCCACACUGGGACUGAGACACGGCCCAGACUCCUACGGGAGGCAGCAGUGGGGAAUAUUGGACAAUGGGCGCAAGCCUGAUCCAGCCAUGCCGCGUGAGUGAUGAAGGCCUUCGGGUUGUAAAGCUCUUUUGGCGGGGACGAUGAUGACGGUACCCGCAGAAUAAGCCCCGGCUAACUUCGUGCCAGCAGCCGCGGUAAGACGAAGGGGGCAAGCGUUGUUCGGAAUUACUGGGCGUAAAGGGCGCGUAGGCGGUCCGAUUAGUCAGGCGUGAAAGCCCUGGGCUUAACCUGGGAGGUGCGCUUGAUACUGUCGGGCUUGAGUGUGGGAGAGGAUGGUGGAAUUCCCAGUGUAGAGGUGAAAUUCGUAGAUAUUGGGAAGAACACCGGUGGCGAAGGCGGCCAUCUGGACCACAACUGACGCUGAGGCGCGAAAGCGUGGGGAGCAAACAGGAUUAGAUACCCUAGUAGUCC
rnacentral:rRNA from 1 species